rnacentral:misc_RNA from 1 species
CCGAGUUUACAACUCCCAAACCCAAUGUGAACCUUACCUCUUGUUGCUUCGGCGGGAACGCCCCGGCGCCCUCUCGGGGGCAAGCCCGGAACCAGGCGCCCGCCGGAGACCCCAAACUCUUGUUUUAUAAAUGGUAUAUUCUGAGUGUUAAACGCAAAAUAAAUCA